GCUCAUAGGGUUAUACUAAAAUGUAAGUGUUUGCAUAAGUGCUGUAUGUGUGCGCAUACUAGUUGGUGUGGGGUACAUAUGGAUGAAUGUGCCCCCUGUUAUGUUAUUUUAGAAAUGGAAAUUCGUGAUAAAUUUUCAUUGCAGAGAGUAUAUGAAUGCGGGUUUAUGGGGUUACACUGAAAUGCAAUUGUUUAUAUAAGUACGGUGUGUGCGUGCGUACUAGUUGGUGUGAGGUACAUAUGGAUGAAUGUGCCCCUUGUUACGUUAUUGUUCGGGAAAUUCGUGAAAAAUUUUCAUUGCAGAGAGUAUAUGAAUGCGGGUUCAUGGGGUUAUACUGAAAUGCAAAUGUUUGUAUAAGUGUGGUGUGUGCGUGCGUACUAGUUGGUGUGAGGUACAUAUGGAUGAAUGUGCCCCCUGUUGUGUUAUUUUUAGAAAUGGAAAUUCGUGAUAAAUUUUCAUUGCAGAGAAUAUAUGAAUGCGGGUUCAUGGGGUUAUACUAAAAUGUAAUCUAGUUUGUUGCUUAAAUAUGAGUAUAGUUAUGUUAUUCUUUUGUGACAUUUGUAAUAUAGUGUUUUGAUAGAACAACUCAAUUGAUUUUUUUAGAUAAUAUUUGCAAUCAUCUACAUAUGUGGUUUGGCUUUUUAUGUAGGGUCAGUUGAAAGAUUUAUAUGGACCCCACCAUAUAUGUCGGUGCAACAUCUUCCCUAUGCCCAAAUGACACGAUUGCGACCAUGGAGCAGGUUCCUUAUCUUACAGAAAUGCGAGAUGGGAACAUGGCUCAUCAACCAAGGGCCUACAAAUAGAAGAACCAUAUAUAGGGAUGAAGUUUGGUUAUGAGAAUGAGGCAUAUGAGUAUUAUAAGGAGUAUGCAUUAGCCAAAGGUUUUGGCGUCCAUAAGGGGACUACCCACAAUAAAGAUGGUCAAAGGAUUGAUAGAGAGCUCAAUUGUUCUAUGGAAGGGUUUCGUCGAGAGAACAAUCGGGUAGGUGAAAAGGUACACCCUAAAUCAAGGUGUGGUUGUAUGGCUAGGAUGGGCCUAAGUAGAAAUGCAAAUAAUGAGUGGGUUGUGACUAGGAUUAUUACGAAACACAAUCACGAUCUUUUGUCUCCAAGAAAAGCUCGUUUAAUUCGCUCACAUCGAACAUUGUCAGGCGUUGCAAAGUUGAUGAUAGGUUCAAUUAGGUCAGCAUUGGUGAAGGCCAGAAAUAUUCAUGACAUUUUUAUAGAGUAAUCUGGAGGGAUUGAUAAUGUUUAUUGUACACAAAAAGACAUCCAAAAUGAAAUUUCCAACUCCAAAUAAAAACUGAGAGGAGAAGAUGGAAGUCUUGUUAUGCAAUGGCUUUAUAAAAUGAAAGAAUUGAACCCAUCUUUUUUUUAUAAAGUGAAAUUAGAUGAAGAUAAUCACAUCCUGAGAGUCUUAUGAGUAGAUGCCUUUUCUAGAGUUUCGUACUAGUGCUUCUCUGAUGUGGUAACUUUUGAUACAACAUACAAAACAAACACCUACGGUAUGCCAUUUGCACCCAUUCUUGGUGUAAAUCCCCAUCACAGUUGGAUUUGCACUAAUUUUUAAUGAGAAUGUCGAAUCAUUUGUAUGGAUAUUUGAAAAUUGUUUAGAAGCUAUGGGGGGACGUCAGCCUGGAGUUAUUCUCACUGAUCAAGACCCUGCAAUUUCGAAUGUAGUGAGACAAGUUUUAGACCAAAGUAAGCAUCAUUCUUGUAAGUGGCAUAUCUUUACCAAAAAUUAAAGAAAAAAUGUGCCAUGUCUUGUGCAUGCAUCCAAAAGUUUCAGAGACCUUCAGGAGGUGUGUGGCUAGUGCAACAGUGGAAGAAUUUGAAUUGGGGUGGAAAAAUAUGAUUGAGAAUUAUGGCCUGGAAAGUAAUGAGUGGAUUGCUAGGCUCUAUAGUUGUCGCAUGCAAUGGGUCGAUGCAUACUUGAGUGACACGUUUACAGCAGGUAUGAGUUCCACUCAAAGGAGUGAAGAGAUGAAUAAGCACUUCAAGAUGUACGUAGCCUCUUCAACAAGCUUACGUACAUUGUUAGAGGUGACGACAAAGGUGCAAGAUAAGAAGGUAUGAAAGGAAAGGGAAAAUGAAUUAAGAGAUAUUGAUACUACUCCAAUAUUAAGAACAACUUCUUUUAUUGAGGCCCCAGCAGCAAAGAUCUAUACUCAAAAGAUUAUGAAGCUAUUGGGAGAAGAGGUGCUGAAUUGUAUUAAUUUGAUGAGUGAGCCAAUUGAGGACAACAGAUUGCUUGCCACUUUUAAGGUGGCAAUACCAAGAAGCUAAUCUAGACCCUACUUGGUUGAAUUCAAUUCCAAUGACAAUAGCGUUUGUUGCAGUUGUCACUUAUAUGAGAGGAUGGGUCUUCUUUGUAGGCAUGUGUUGAAGGUUUUUAUGGUGAAGAAUGUAUUUGAAAUACCCCCACAAUACAUAAUGAGGCGUUGGAGAAAGGAUAUAAAAAAUGGGGUUUUUAUCGAUGAGAGUGGCAAUCAAAUUCAAGAAACAUCUCAACUACCACGCUCCAUUCGAUAUAAUGAGGUCUAUCAGGCAACUCGAUACCUCGCCGAGCAUGCAUCAGAGAGUGCAGAGCUCCAUGAAUUUAUAAUGGCCAUAAUAAACAGCGGAAUUUGUCAGGUUGAUCGCCGAUUCGGGCGUAAGGGAGGUCCACAGCAUGAUGCCACAAUCAAUUGUAAUGCUGAAGAGUAUGGUAACGUUGAAGCAAAUGCUAAUAUCGACGAGAAUGCAGCUAGUUGUAGUGACACACCAAUUGAAAGUGAACAUUGCCAAAAUAUUCUUGAGCCUCUAUGAGCACGAAAAAGGGAAGACUAACCAAUAAAAGAAAGAAAGCUCAAUCAGAAGAGUGGAAGCCGCAAGAAAACACCAAUAAGUCGAAGGAAAAGACCAGGAAGUGUGCAGUGUGCAAGGGCAAUGGGCACGACAAAAGAAAUUGUUCGUCAUUCAUUCGUGCAAAGUGUUGAAAACUAUUCAGUUCAAAUAGAGGUUCUCAUGGGAUGUAGGCUGGUGUUCCGUCAAAUUUUCCCAACCAAUAGCAGAACAACUUGGAGCAUCAUGCUCCAAAGAAUUCGAUGCAGCAGUCACUCAUGUGGUUUUGCUCGAUUUAGGGACUGAGAAGGCUCAUUGGGCUAUAUAGCGAAAGAGUGAAGGAGGAUCUUAAUUCAUAGUUUUUUCUUUAGUAUUUUUUUGGGAUGAAACAUGAUUGAUCCAUUUUACACAAUCUCUUUAUAAAAUGAUUGUGCUUUAUCUAAAGGUAAUGUAGGAAUUUUGAAGAGAUAUAGUUUACGUGGGUAUGUGUAACCCUUUUUGGGUUUUCUUGGAUUUCAUUAGUUUUGUUUGCUCAAUGGAUGUGGUGCUUUGAGAUGAUGGGAAUGUGUAAGUUUGAAGGGACUAAUGAAAACAAAAGUGGGGAUGUUGGAUUACAUCAGUUUGUAAUUGCAAAAGUAUUGCUUAAUGAUGAUGCAUACACCAGUACAUUAGAAUGUGA